GAUGAACGCUGGCGGCGUGCCUAAUACAUGCAAGUCGAGCGAACAGACGAGGAGCUUGCUCCUCUGACGUUAGCGGCGGACGGGUGAGUAACACGUGGAUAACCUACCUAUAAGACUGGGAUAACUUCGGGAAACCGGAGCUAAUACCGGAUAAUAUAUUGAACCGCAUGGUUCAAUAGUGAAAGACGGUUUUGCUGUCACUUAUAGAUGGAUCCGCGCCGCAUUAGCUAGUUGGUAAGGUAACGGCUUACCAAGGCAACGAUGCGUAGCCGACCUGAGAGGGUGAUCGGCCACACUGGAACUGAGACACGGUCCAGACUCCUACGGGAGGCAGCAGUAGGGAAUCUUCCGCAAAGGGCGAAAGCCUAACGGAGCAACGCCGCGUGAGUGAUGAAGGUCUUCGGAUCGUAAAACUCUGUUAUUAGGGAAGAACAAAUGUGUAAGUAACUAUGCACGUCUUGACGGUACCUAAUCAGAAAGCCACGGCUAACUACGUG
rnacentral:rRNA from 1 species